rnacentral:rRNA from 1 species
UACAUGGGGUGCAAACGUUGCUCGGAAUUAUUGGGCGUAAAGCGCACGUAGGCGGUCGCUUAAGUCGGAUGUGAAAGCCCUCGGCUCAACUGAGGAAGUGCAUCCGAAACUGAGUGGCUAGAGUAUGGUAGAGGGUCGCGGAAUUCCCGGUGUAGAGGUGAAAUUCGUAGAUAUCGGGAGGAACACCAGUGGCGAAGGCGGCGACCUGGGCCAAUACUGACGCUGAGGUGCGAAAGCGUGGGGAGCAAACGGG